rnacentral:rRNA from 1 species
AUACGUAGGUGGCAAGCGUUGUCCGGAUUUACUGGGCGUAAAGGGUGCGUAGGUGGAUAUUUAAGUGAGAUGUGAAAUCCCCGAGCUUAACUUGGGGCCUGCAUUUCAAACUGGAUAUCUAGAGUGCAGGAGAGGAGAAUGGAAUUCCUAGUGUAGCGGUGAAAUGCGUAGAGAUUAGGAAGAACACCAGUGGCGAAGGCGAUCCUCUGGACUGUAACUGGCACUGAGGCACGAAAGCGUGGGUAGC